AACGAACGCUGGCGGCAUGCCUAACACAUGCAAGUCGAACGAAGCCUUCGGGUUUAGUGGCGCACGGGUGCGCAACGCGUGGGAAUCUGCCCCUUGCUUCGGAAUAACAGUUAGAAAUGACUGCUAAUACCGGAUGAUGUCUUCGGACCAAAGAUUUAUCGGCAAGGGAUGAGCCCGCGUAGGAUUAGGUAGUUGGUGGGGUAAAGGCCUACCAAGCCGACGAUUCUUAGCUGGUCUGAGAGGAUGAUCAGCCACACUGGGACUGAGACACGGCCCAGACUCCUCCGGGAGGCAGCAGUGGGGAAUAUUGGACAAUGGACGCAAGUCUGAUCCAGCAAUGCCGCGUGAGUGAUGAAGGCCUUAGGGUUGUAAAGCUCUUUUACCAGGGAUGAUAAUGACAGUACCUGGAGAAUAAGCUCCGGCUAACUCCGUGCCAGCCGCCGCAGUAAGAC
rnacentral:rRNA from 1 species